GACGAAGGGGGCUAGCGUUGUUCGGAAUUACUGGGCGUAAAGCGCGUGUAGGCGGUUGUCCAAGUUGGAUGUGAAAGCCUUGAGCUCAACUCAAGAAAUGCACUCAGGACUGGAUGACUAGAGGACCGGAGAGGAUAGUGGAAUUCCCAGUGUAGUGGUGAAAUACGUAGAGAUUGGGAAGAACACCAGUGGCGAAGGCGGCUAUCUGGACGGUUUCUGACGCUAAGACGCGAAAGCGUGGGGAGCAAACAGG
rnacentral:rRNA from 1 species